rnacentral:tRNA from 1 species
GCGCCGGUGGUGUAAUGGCGUACAGCAUUCCCGUUCGGUCAGCAGGAGGUGCGGGUUCGAGUCCCGUCUGACGCU